rnacentral:rRNA from 1 species
CGGAAUGCGUGGUGUAGCGGUGAAAUGCAUAGAUAUCACGCAGAACCCCGAUUGCGAAGGCAGCAUACCGGCGCCCUACUGACGCUGAGGCACGAAAGUGCGGGGAUCAAACAGGAUUAGAUACCCUGGUAGUCCGCACAGUAAACGAUGAAUGCUAACUGUCCGGUGCGAGUGAGCGCUGGGCGGUACAGCGAAAGCGUUAAGCAUUCCACCUGGGGAGUACGCCGGCAACGGUGAAACUCAAAGGAAUUGACGGGGGCCCGCACAAGCGGAGGAACAUGUGGUUUAAUUCGAUGAUACGCGAGGAACCUUACCCGGGCUCAAACGCAGGCUGACGGGUCCCGAAAGGGGCCUUUCUUCGGACAUUCUGCGAGGUGCUGCAUGGUUGUCGUCAGCUCGUGCCGUGAGGUGUCGGCUUAAGUGCCAUAACGAGCGCAACCCCUGUCCACAGUUGCCAGCAGGUAAAGCUGGGGACUCUGUGGAGACUGCCGGCGCAAGCUGCGAGGAAGGCGGGGAUGACGUCAAAUCAGCACGGCCCUUACGUCCGGGGCGACACACGUGUUACAAUGGCAGGUACAGGGGGAUGCCACGGGGCGACCCGGCGCUGAACCCGAAAACCUGUCUCAGUUCGGAUUGGAGUCUGCAACCCGACUCCAUGAAGCUGGAUUCGCUAGUAAUCGCGCAUCAGCCACGGCGCGGUGAAUACGUUCCCGGGCCUUGUACACACCGCCCGUCAAGCCAUGGAAGCCGGGGGUACCUGAAGUGCGUGACCGCGAGGAGCGCCCUAGGGUAAAACCGGUGACUGGGGCUAAGUCGUAACAAGGUAGCCGUAA